CAUUUUCAGAACUUUGCUAGUGACUGGCCAUAGAUCUGCAGGUGGCUCCAUCCCAGCCAGUGAGACAGAGGGAAUCCAUGCUUUGCCAGCUUGAAGUAGAAUCCCGUCUCACAGAAGCCCAGCUCGGAUUGAGAAUUCAAAGCCAUGGAUGCUAAGGAAACAUGAUGUUUGAAAAGUUCCAUUAAUAUUUCUUCAGUGCUCCUCAGAAAGUCCCACACCCAGGUUUGACUUCAAGACAAGUCAUUUCUGAAUAAAGGCUGCCCUGACACUCCCAAGCACAGCUGGUCACACCUGCCCCACCCCAGUCCACCCUCCAUUCUGACACUUUCAUGAUGUAAUGGCUUUUGUUUAUGACUGUGUGUCCCCAGCUAAAGCAAAUUCUUAAAGGGCAGCUAUGCUGUUUAAUAGACCUAUGGAUUCCAAGCCUGGACAGAAUCUCCUCUCUGUAGCCAAUGCCUGAGAAAAUAAGUUAUUGAAUAUAAACUCAUACUUUUGGGAGCUGCUCCCAGGGAUGACGGUGUCCAAGGAUACAGGCCCCAGGGCUCAGACCGAAGGGAGAAAUACAUAUGUGCCAUGAAGAGAGAGCCCAGGCACUGGAUGUCUCCACUGAAUAAAAAUGAGCAAAGCCAUAAAGCUGCAGGCCAAUAUCAGAGGAAGAAAUCGUGGGUCUUUCUGCAGAGCUAGGUCCCACCCAGUGACCACAAUCCAUUGUUUCUUGCUCUGCUGGCUGCCCCACAAAGCAAAGGGAUGCCAAGCCAGGAGUCCUGGGCCCAGCGUGAGCAGAGCAGGCAGCACAGGGCUAUGUCACACAGAAGGCUCAUGGCCUCUCCUGCGUCUUGUGAGGGUAUCUGUCUGCGUCGUGUCAUAAGACAGGAGGAAACUGACAUCGUAGAAUCUGGGGAUAGGACAUAAAUUAACACCAGACCCUUCGGCAAAUGAUGCUGAAUUCUAAGCAGAAACUUCUCAAAUA